rnacentral:rRNA from 1 species
GACGAACGCUGGCGGCGUGCUUAACACAUGCAAGUCGAACGGAAAGGCCUCUUUCGGGGGGUACUCGAGUGGCGAACGGGUGAGUAACACGUGAGUAACCUGCCCUUGACUUUGGGAUAACUUCAGGAAACUGGGGCUAAUACCGGAUAGGAGCUCCUGCUGCAUGGUGGUGGUUGGAAAGUUUCGGCGGUUGGGGAUGGACUCGCGGCUUAUCAGCUUGUUGGUGGGGUAGUGGCUUACCAAGGCUUUGACGGGUAGCCGGCCUGAGAGGGUGACCGGCCACAUUGGGACUGAGAUACGGCCCAGACUCCUACGGGAGGCAGCAGUGGGGAAGAUUGCACAAUGGGUGGAAGCCUGAUGCAGCAACGCCGUGUGCGGGAUGACGGCCUUCGGGUUGUAAACCGCUUUCGCUCAUGACGAAGCUUUGUGUGACGGUAGUGGGUAAAGAAGCACCGGCUAACUACGUG